GAUGAACGCUGGCGGCGUGCCUAAUACAUGCAAGUCGAGCGAACAGACGAGAGUGCUUGCCCUCUCUGACGUUAGCGGCGGACGGGUGUGUAACACGUGGGUAACCUACCUAUAAGACUGGGAUAACUUCGGGAAACCGGAGCUAAUACCGGAUAAUAUUUAGCUUCGCAUGAAGCAAUAGUGAAAGACGGUUCUGCUGUCACUUAUAGAUGGACCCGCGGUGUAUUAGCUAGUUGGUGAGGUAACGGCUCACCAAGGCAACGAUACAUAGCCGACCUGAGAGGGUGAUCGGCCACACUGGGACUGAGACACGGCCCAGACUCCUACGGGAGGCAGCAGUAGGGAAUCUUCCGCAAUGGACGAAAGUCUGACGGAGCAAUGCCGCGUGAGUGAAGAAGGUUUUCGGAUCGUAAAACUCUGUUGUAAGGGAAGAACAAGUACGUUAGUAACUGAACGUACCUUGACGGUACCUUACCAGAAAGCCACGGCUAACUACGUG
rnacentral:rRNA from 1 species